GACGAACGCUGGCGGCGUGCCUAACACAUGCAAGUCGAACGAGGAUAGAGGAGCUUGCUCUUCUAUUCUAGUGGCGGACGGGUGAGUAACACGUGAGUAACCUGCCUUUCAGAGGGGGAUAACGUCUGGAAACGGACGCUAAUACCGCAUAACAUAGAGGUGUCGCAUGGCGCUUUUAUCAAAGGAGCAAUCCGCUGAGAGAUGGACUCGCGCCCGAUUAGCUAGUUGGUGGGGUAAAGGCCUACCAAGGCGACGAUCGGUAGCCGGACUGAGAGGUUGAACGGCCACAUUGGGACUGAGACACGGCCCAGACUCCUACGGGAGGCAGCAGUGGGGGAUAUUGCACAAUGGGCGAAAGCCUGAUGCAGCAACGCCGCGUGAAGGAAGAAGUAUUUCGGUAUGUAAACUUCUACCAGCAGGGAAGAAAAUGACGGUACCUGACUAAGAAGCCCCGGCUAAUUACGUGCCAGCAGCCGCGGUAAAAC
rnacentral:rRNA from 1 species